GAAGACACAAUUUAGCCCAUGAUAUUUAGAAUAAUUUUACACAGCAUGAAUUUAAGAAGACAUAGCGUAAAAUCUAACCUUGAAGUUAAAGAUCAUCAAACCCUAGGUAGUCUCUCUUCUUUUGCUUAAGGGAAGAUGGUUUGGAGAUUCGACAAAGGCAAUAAUACAUUUUGGGGAGGUUUUAAAUCAUGGGGAAUGGUUUAAAGGGGAAAAGACUAAAAGGUCCCUCUGUGAUAUUUGAAAGUAACUCUGGAAAUCAAGACCUCCGCGACACGGUGGCUAUUGCAGGGACUAGUAUCUGCGGUGCGGCACCCAUCAUGUGAUCCAGCCUCUAUAGCACGGUGAUUAUCGCAUUAUCCAGCUUGUAUGAUGCGGGGCUAUCGUGGAGGCUUACUGUCUCUGUGUCCCAAAAAUACCCCAAACCUAGUCUAAAAGCUCCAAAAUUCCUCCGACAUACCCUUUUAACAUCCCCGAUCAAGACUUGAGUCAAAAAUUGAUAUUUAAAGUAUGGGAAGACCAAAAAUAAAAUAGCCAAAUUUUGGGGGAGUUACAACAACUAUGUUAGCACCGAAUGAAGUAAGCAAAAUAAUUAAAUGUUUAUUUCUUUUCUUUUAUUUUUUCGCAAUAGCAUUGAAUGGCUUUUAUACUUUUUGUAACAUAUUUUUUUCUCAACCAAAUAAUUACAUGUUGGAUAAUAGUUGAUUUCAAAUAAAAUAUAGUAGAAUCUUAGCACUGAGUUUUACAUACAUUAUUGUCUUCUUAUAUAUAUAUAUAUAUAUAUAGAGAGAGAGAGAGAGAGAGAGAGAGAUAGAUAGAUAGAUAGAUAGAUAUAGAUAUGUUUUUCUAUUUAUUUUUAAUUUGUUGCAUAAUUAUGUGAAAAAUAAAUGUAUAUUUGAGUAUCUAUAGCUUAUUUAAGUCAUCAAAAUUAUUUUCAUUCUUUAUUUCUUAAUCAAAACAUAUUUUCUUUCAUCAUAUCAAAGUAAUUUUAUAAAACUGAAUUCACUAAAAUGACGUACUCGCACGAGGCGUGAACCCUAAACUUGUACUCUAUUAAAAUCGUGAAGGUCAUUAAAAAUAUUUUUUAAACUUUUUUUCCUUCACUAAAACUCUCUGUUUUUGACUAAAUUGUAUUUUAACUAUUUUUCUAAUAUAUAAGAGUUCAAAAUUACUCAAAUAUUUGUAGAAAAACCUUUCCUUAUUAGAAGACAUCAAAACUAAUGACAACUAAUAUCUUUUUUCAUUAGUUUUAAGAAUUCUAAAUCAGCUAAUGUUGACUUUCAAAAGAUUUGAAAAUUUUUGAAAUAAAUAUGAAAGCCUUAGAAAAAAAAUAUAAGUACCAAACUUUUAAAAAUUUUAAGUAAGUAAUCAAUAAUUUUCAAAAACUUUAACUUUAAAAAUAAGAAAAAUAAAUUAAUAUAGACAAAUAAAUAAAAAAUAAUCCUAAUAAAGAUAUGGUUCAAAUCGAUGCACAUCUCUUAGCUUCUAGCAGGAAGAAAUGGAGGUACUACAUGACAUAUGCAAAAGUGACGAUCUAUUAGCCACUUAAAACUUUUGGUGAAAAAAUUUAUAUGUGUUUACUAUAAAAUAUAUGUUAUGUUUAUGUUACUAUAUUGAAAUGUGAAGAAUCUUUAAGAAGUGACUCGAACAAUUUACACUUCAUUAAAAAUCUUCUCAAUAGACAAAAUUUCAAGUGAUUCAUCAAUCACUUGAAAUUUAUGGUGGUAAUAUACAUACUUACAUACAUAUAUACAUACAUAUAUAUAUAUAUAUAUGUGUAUAUAUAUAUAUGUGUGUAUAUACAUACAUACAUACAUAUAUGUGUAUAUAUAUAUAUAUAUAUAUAGUAUGGAUCACCAUCAUCAUUAUGGAUCACCAUCACAAUCUACAUACGAAUAGUCAUGUAUAGACCAUUGUUCUUGAACAAGAUGAUCUAUAAUUUUUUCAAGAAUUUUUUCUUGUAAACAUUUAUUUAAUUUUAUUACUUUUAAAAUAGUAAUUAAUAUUUUUUCAUUUAAGAGAAUAGUAUAAUAACUCAUUAGGCAGUAUAAAGUAUGUAUUUCUUUAACUUAGCUUAGAUUUUUUUUAACAGAUAAACCUGUGUAUUUUUUAAAGCUUGUUCUCUAUCUAGUGCUCUAAGUAGUAGCUUCUCUACUUCGUUAAUUCUAUAUUUUACAAGAUUAUUUGAAGUAUUCUUUCUUAAAAGAUACAUUUCUCUACGAUAGUUUCUCAAAUUUAUUAAAGCUUCAUUAAUUCUUCUUAUAAUAAUUAUGGUUUCGAAAAUUUUUCUUCUAGGCUUUUGUAAUUGUGGUCGUACCACUCUCAUGAUAAUAAAUAUAAACAAUUCAUAAUUUUAUAUUCCAUAUAGGUACUUAGUAAUAUAUAAUAUGUAUGAAUGUCUAGAGUAGAUAUGAAAAAAGACUUUUCUUAUGCUAAUAUGUUCAUGAAAUGGUAGAGUUUAUGCAUAGACCUUUCGAACUUAGUUUAUGUUAGUUGUAUCAGCGCCACGGUGCUUCUCUUUCUGGUUAUGAAGAAGCUUUUAACCUAAUGCGACUCGCUGUCUCAGGCUACUGCUCUGUCCUUCCUCUGUUAAGGCUGAAGAUCGCAACCUUCAUUUUUUACCAGUAUAAAAGAUUUGAAAAGGAUAUAUGGAAAAAAACUUUUCAUUUCUUGAACAUAUUACAACAUAGGAAAAAUCUUUAAUCAGAUCUUCCUUAUACUUACAUACAUACUAUUUAUUACCUUUCCCUGACGGGAGAAGUGUGUCUUACUCACUCAUGUAGAAGAUACCUAGCAUUUUUUUAAGAAAUAGAAUAUUAGAG
rnacentral:lncRNA from 1 species